GACGAACGCUGGCGGCGUGCCUAAUACAUGCAAGUCGAACGGUCUUUUCUAUGGAAGCUUGCUUCCGCUGAGAAGAUAGUGGCGAACGGGUGAGUAACACGUGGGUAACCUGCCCAUAAGAGGGGGAUAACAUCCGGAAACGGUUGCUAAAACCGCAUAAGCGCACAUUGUCGCAUGACAAAGUGUGAAAAUAUUUAUAGGUAUAGGAUGGGCUCGCGCCUGAUUAGAUAGUUGGUGAGGUAAUGGCUCACCAAGUCUGCGAUCAGUAGCCGGACUGAGAGGUUGAACGGCCACAUUGGGACUGAGACACGGCCCAGACUCCUACGGGAGGCAGCAGUGGGGGAUA
rnacentral:rRNA from 1 species